rnacentral:rRNA from 1 species
CCUACGGGGUGCAGCAGUGAGGAAUAUUGGUCAAUGGGCGUAAGCCUGAACCAGCCAAGUCGCGUGGGGGAUGAAGGUUCUAUGGAUCGUAAACCUCUUUUAUAGGGAAGUUAAUGGCGGGACGUGUCCCGUUUGGUAUGUACCUUAUGAAUAAGGAUCGGCUAACUCCGUGCCAGCAGCCGCGGUAAUACGGAGGCACCGAGCGUUAUCCGGAUUUAUUGGGGUUAACGGGUGCGUAGGGGGCCUUUUAAGUCAGCGGUGAAAGUCUGUGGCUCAACCAUAGAAUUGCCGUUGAAACUGGGAGGCUUGAGUAUGUGUGAGGUAGGCGGAAUGCUUGGUGUAGGGGUGAAAUGCUUAGAUAUCAAGCAGAACCCUGAUUGCGAAGGCAGCCUGCCAAGCCAUGACUGACGCUGAUGCACGAAAGCGUGGGGAUCAAACAGGAUUAGAUACCCCUGUAGUC